AGGCAUGUAGCUCAGAGGCAGAGUACUUGCCUAGCAUGCAUGAAAUCCUGAGUUCAAUCCCCAGCACCACUA
rnacentral:tRNA from 1 species